UACGUAGGUGGCUAGCGUUGUCCGGAUUUACUGGGCGUAAAGAGCGCGCAGGCGGUCGUUCAAGUCGAGUGUGAAAGCCCCCGGCUCAACUGGGGAGGGUCACUCGAUACUGAUCGACUCGAAGGCAGGAGAGGGAAGCGGAAUUCCCGGUGUAGUGGUGAAAUGCGUAGAUAUCUGGAGGAACACCGGUGGCGAAGGCGGCAUUCUGGACCAUAACUGACACUGAGAGACGAAAGCCAGGGGAGCAAACGGG
rnacentral:rRNA from 1 species